rnacentral:rRNA from 1 species
CGCCUUGCCAGCCCGCUCAGAACUAAAUGAAUUGACGGGGGCCCGCACAAGCGGUGGAGCAUGUGGUUUAAUUCGAUGAUACGCGAGGAACCUUACCUGGGCUCAAAUGUAUGUUGACGUAUUCUGAAAGGGAUACUUCUUCGGACAAUAUACAAGGUGCUGCAUGGUUGUCGUCAGCUCGUGCCGUGAGGUGUCGGGUUAAGUCCCAUAACGAGCGCAACCCCUAUCAUUAGUUGCCAUCAGGUCAAGCUGGGGACUCUAAUGAAACUGCCUACGCAAGUAGUGAGGAAGGUGGGGAUGACGUCAAAUCAGCACGGCCCUUACGUCCAGGGCUACACACGUGCUACAAUGGCCGGUACAAAGGGCAGCUACCUGGUGACAGGAUGCUAAUCUCAAAAGCCGGUCUCAGUUCGGAUCGGAGUCUGCAACCCGACUCCGUGAAGCUGGAUUCGCUAGUAAUCGCGCAUCAGCCACGGCGCGGUGAAUACGUUCCCGGGCCUU